GGAAUUGUCUAUCUAGGUGUCGCGACGCCUCGAACUGCUUGGUACCGGAACAUUCCAUUUCGUGAGAAAAGGAUUUCUAACAUUAUCCCAUGAACAAAGCCAAGCUCUGUUUGUAAGUACUGGGAGGACAGCGAAUAUCGACGAAGUAUUUCUCCAAUGGAAGUCAACGCUAGCUAAGAAGUUUACAACACAAACACAUGGUAAACAUGUGGUUGUUUUAAUAACAAGGCGUACAGUCACGGCACGUAACGGGGAUGGAGGCAAUGGCAAGUAU